AGAGUUUGAUCCUGGCUCAGGAUGAACGCUGGCGGCGUGCUUAACACAUGCAAGUCGAACGAGAGAAGAUUGGUGCUUGCACUGAUCCGAUCGAGUGGCGGACGGGUGAGUAACGCGUGGGUAACCUGCCUCAUACAGGGGAAUAACAGUUGGAAACGGCUGCUAAAACCGCAUAAGCGCACAGUAUCGCAUGAUACAGUGUGAAAAACUCCGGUGGUAUGAGAUGGACCCGCGUCUGAUUAGCUAGUUGGUGAGGUAACGGCCCACCAAGGCAACGAUCAGUAGCCGGCCUGAGAGGGUGAACGGCCACAUUGGGACUGAGACACGGCCCAAACUCCUACGGGAGGCAGCAGUGGGGAAUAUUGCACAAUGGGGGAAACCCUGAUGCAGCGACGCCGCGUGAGUGAAGAAGUAUUUCGGUAUGUAAAGCUCUAUCAGCAGGGAAGAUAAUGACGGUACCUGACUAAGAAGCACCGGCUAAAUACGUGCCAGCAGCCGCGGUAAUACGUAUGGUGCAAGCGUUAUCCGGAUUUACUGGGUGUAAAGGGUGCGUAGGUGGUGAGACAAGUCUGAAGUGAAAAUCCGGGGCUUAACCCCGGAACUGCUUUGGAAACUGCCUGACUAGAGUACAGGAGAGGUAAGUGGAAUUCCUAGUGUAGCGGUGAAAUGCGUAGAUAUUAGGAGGAACACCAGUGGCGAAGGCGACUUACUGGACUGCUACUGACACUGAGGCACGAAAGCGUGGGGAGCAAACAGGAUUAGAUACCCUGGUAGUCCACGCCGUAAACG
rnacentral:rRNA from 1 species